rnacentral:pre_miRNA from 1 species
UUUCCCCACUCCUUGCUUUAAUACUUAUUUUAACGUCGUAUUAAAGCCAGAGUUUGGAAAGU